GUCUUUAUAUGAACAAUAAAGUUAUCUUAUGGUUUAAGUGCAUAUUUUAUUUUCUGUAAAGUGUAGAUCACAAAACAUCCAAAAUGAUUUUCUAUCAAUUCGUAUGCUUAAUUUUAUCAAUAUUUGCGACUUUAGCCAGCUCGAUUGGUUCAGAGUCCGGUUCCUUAUUAUCGGCCUGUUCGAAGUUUGAUUUUGAAGAAAAGGUGCUGGAAAAACUUGUGCGCUUGGAACAUAAAAUGGAAGUAUACACUGAAAAGAUGAACCUAUGGGAAGAAUAUUUUUCUUCUAGCAUUGAAAAUAAAAUGAAAGUGUAUGCGGAUAAGAUGAAGCUAUGGGAAGAAUCUAUUUCUUCCAGUCUGGAUAAAGUGGUCGAGCAGAAGAAAAAAACAGAAACAUUUGUUGAAUCACAUCUUCAGGACCAAACGCGGUUUAAAGAGUCUUUCCUUGAAACAAUAGACAAUUUUAAACUGCAGUCUGAAAAUAAAACUGAGAUGUACGAACGAAAAAUUAACACGCUGUUGGAUUCGUUUUCUUCUAAAAUACAAGAAUUAAGUGAAGCUGAACGUAAAAUAGAGAAUACAAUGCAGGCAUCUCUUCACCAAGAACAGAACAGAUUUAAUGCGUCGUUUGAUAAAAUUGUGGAACUUUCAAAUCGUUUCAAUACCUCUUUGCAAGAAAUUGCUUUAAAAGAGAAGAAAGGUAGAGUUCUUUGUUACAGUAAAUUUCAUAAAUUUUACACUUACUUACAUGCUAAUUUGCUAUUUUUUUUACACUUACAGCUUAGUUUUCUUAAACCUUAAGCCCAAAUAGUAAGCAUCUAUAUUUCUUGUUUGAAUUGUUUUACAUGUGUCAUUUCCGGGCUUUUAGCUGACUAUGUGGUAUUGGUUUUGCUCAUUGUUGAAGGCCGUACUGUUACCUACAGUUGUUAACUUCUAUGUCAUCUAGUUUCUGGUAAAGAGUUGUAUCGUUGGCAAUCAUACCACAUCUAUUUAUUUGUAUAUCUAUGAAAAGUUGUAGGCUUCAUCAAUUGUUUUAAUUGUCACGUAAGUUGCUACAGAGAGUAAUCAAAGUACUGAAGUGACCGCAAGUUCUGGUGGAUGGUCUCAGAAAAUAAAAUCAUAUCUCUAUGUACUUGAAAGUAAAUAGGUUUAGGUAUAUAAUUUUUUUUUCUGAGACAAGUUCCUGUGUUGAUGAUGAACAAAUUGCAUGGAAUUCAACCUCACCGUCGUAGUGAUACAAGUGUGGACACGGAUCAGUGUGGAUAGUAUGUUUGGAUGUUUUGCUUUUCUCAUCACUUGGCGUACGUCGUCCGUCGUUGUCUGUCGUCGUCAUCGCCAAUUAACUUUUAGAAAAAUCUUCUCCUCCGAAACUACUGGGUAAAAUGAAACCAAACUUGACCUAAAUCAUCCUUUAUAGGGUAUCUAGUUUUAAAAAUGUAUCCGAUGACGCCGCCCAUCAACCAAGAUGGCCGUCAAGGCUAAAAAUAGAACAUGGGGGUAAAUUGCAGUUUUGGGCUUAUAGCUCUGAAACUGAAGCAUUUGGCGCAAAUCUGCCAUGAGGGUAAAAUGUUCAUCAGAACAAGAUCUAACUGCACUGAAAUUUUCAGACGCAGACAACCUGUUGUUGGGUUGCUGCCCCUAAAUUGCUAAUUUUAAGGAAAUUUUGCAGUUUUUGGUUAUUGUGACGUCUUGAAUAUUAUAAUAGAUAUAGAUAAACUGUACACAGCAAAAUUGAUCAGCAAAGUAAGAUCUACAAAUAAGUCAAACAUGACCAAAAUGGCCAAUUGACCCCACCAAGAGUUAUUGCCCUUUAAAAUCAACUUUUCACACCUUUUCUUAAUUUUUUGUAAGUUUUUACAAAAAUCUUCUCCUCUAAAACUACUGGGCCAAAUGAAACCAAACUUGGUCCAAAUCAACUAAGGGUAUCUAGUUUAAAAAAUGUAUCCAUACUCAAUAGUGUUUAAUAAAUCUGUCUUUAUGCACGAGACUUUAUGCAUUACCCCUUUCAAAACUUCAUUCUCUGUUUAAUUUAUGUUUGGAAACCACUGUUAUAAACCCUCAUGCAAACCAAUACAAACUUACAGCUAUAAUUUCGGAUGUUGCAAGUCACAGACUUUCCAAACCAGUCCGCACUGGAAAAGAUGAUAAAGAGAAAAGAUUUGUUCUUAAUCUUUCCUUUGCAAACAUUUAGGUCUCGAUGGCGUCAACUUAGGCAAUAUCCUUCAUUAUAAAUUAGUUCAAUCGAAAAUACCUCCUUUUUCAAAGAUCAGUCUGUACCAAUCAUUUCUUAUAUCUAUACCAAACCUAUUGCAACUUAAAUUUUCAAUUACAAACACGUUUUGCAGGAUCUCAAUAUUGACGACUUCAAGUCUUUACCUCCCGAUUGCACUUGUGCUAGUUCUCAAUUCACAUAUAAUCUGACUGGCCACGUUAUUACCGGUGACCUCAACAUUGUAAAUAACACUUCCCUGCGAAAUGUGUUAUCGAAAGGUCCGAAAUAUCGUGAGCCUUACUCCAUCAAUUGGAAAUAAAACUUCAAAAUUUUGAUGAAUCAGUCGAAGAUUAUGCCAGGCAAUUGGCUAAGCGCGAGAAGGAACACGUAGACACUCUUUCCGAAUGAAUUAAGGCGGCGAGGUCGUUGAUAGAAAUCAGAAUCAAGAAACUGAAUGGGUCUAUCAAUGCCCAUGCUACGUCAAUCUUUAAAGACCCAAAGAUUGCAAAACAUUUAUCCUACCUACAAAUAUGUUGUUGUCCCCGCAGAUAAAGCCCAAAACAACAUCGUUUUUGUGUGUAAAACUCAUUCCAUUAACUGCUUGAUCAACAAAUUAGGUAUUGACACUUUGCAUGGAAACUCAACAUAUACCCUCACGACACUUACCAAAGAGGAAAUCCGGGAUAAUCAUAGGUCUGUUCUAUGUUCCUUUGGAAUUUCAACCAAAGGUGAAGAACUGGAUCUUCCAUCACUGUAUUGGAUACCUACAUAAGAGUCCUUACAAACAACGGUAUAUUGCUGGGUCUUCCAAGUGCUCCACGAUCUUUCUAAGUUAUUAAGAUCUAUUUUAUCAGCAAUCAAAGACGGGCUUCAAAGUUAUUGUGAAACUGCCUAUUCUAGAGGUGGCGUGAAUCAGAUGUGGAUACUUAAAAAUUCCAAAAAUCUUUUAGAGUACAUACAAUCUAACUCUCUUUCAUCUUGCAAUAUAGUAUUAAAACUUUUGACUUUUCUACACUUUACACAAGUAUUCCACAUUCCAAACUAAAAUACAAAUUGAAAGAGUUGGUAUUGCUUUGUUUCAUAAAAAAGAAUGACCAACGUAGAUACAAGUAUCUUGUCGUAGGGAGACAGGGAUAAAUCCUAUUUUGUAAAGCAUUAUUCUGAUUCAAACAAAAAAAUUCUCUGAAACUGACAUUAUCAAGAUGCUUGAUUUUUUGAUUGACAACAUAUUUGUUAUGUCGGAGGACGUGGUUUUCAACUGACUGUCUGCAUUCCAAUGGGAACCAAUUGUGACCCUCUUUUUGCCGACUUGUUUCUUUAUUAUUAUGAGGCUGACUUCAUACAGGAACUUCUUAGGAAGAUAGAUAAGAAGUUAGCAAUAUCCUUUAACUCUACAAUCCGCUAUAUAGUUGACGUUCUUUCACUAGAUAAUUAAAAAUUUGGUGACUAUGUUGAAUGCAUCUAUCCCAUCGAACUAGAGAUAAAGGAUGCAACAGAUACAGUUAAGUCGGCCUCAUAUCUUGAUUUACAUCUAGAAAUUGACAAUGAGUGUCGGUUGAAAACAAAACUUUACGACAAAAAAGAGAUGAUUUCAGCUUUCCAAUUGUGAACUUUUCAUUUCUAAGUAGCAACAUUCCAACAGCACCUGCAUACGGGGUAUAUAUCUCCCAAUUGAUGCGAUAUUUCAGUGCUUUCAUUUCCUAUUAUGAUUUUCUUGAUAGAGGGUUGUUGCUCACAAGGAAGCUAUUAAACCAAGAGCCCCAAAUGGUGAAGUUGAAAUCAUCCCUUCGUAAAUUUUGCGAACGCCAUCACGAGUUGGUUGACCGUUAUGGAAUAACCGUUUCACAAAUGAUAUCGGAUAGGUUCCUUACGUCGUAACUACAAUCCCCUUCCCUUUCCUGAAUGUGACCUACCGAAUUAGAUUAAUUACCGGAUUUGUUAUAACAAAAGCAACACGACGGGUGCCACAUGUGGAACAGGAUCUGAUUACCCUUCUGGAGCACCUGAUAUCACCCCUAGUUUUUGGUGGGGUUCGUGUUGCUUAUUCUUUAGUUUUCUAUGGUGUGUCAUGUGUUCUGUUGUUUUCUGUUUGUCUUAUUUCAUUUUUAGCCAGACGUUGUCAGUUUAUUUUCGAUUUAUAAGUUUGACUGUCCCUCUGGUAUCUUUCGUCCCUCUUCUAACUCAUUUUGACAACAAAAUCUAAUUGUUAAAAAAUGACAUUUUCAUUGCAGAUAAACAGAUUAGACCUGCAUUCUUCUCAACAUUGUCGAAAAGUGCUGUUUUAUCCAACUCUAACAAAGUGUUGAUAUUUGAUGGAGUAAAGGUCAAUAGAGGUGGAGGCUACAACCCAUCUACAGGGAUCUUCACUGGAUUGUAUCAUUUCAGUUGUGUGAUUUAUGGGGACAAUGGAAAAGACGUCGGUUAUCAACUCAACAAGAACGACUCAUUGUAUGUAAGCGGAUAUUCAAACAACGGACCACACGAAGCAAGUAGUAUUAGUGUAUUGGUUGAAUUAAAGAAAGGCGAUCGUGUUUAUAUUAAGCAUAGACACCUCGGCCAGACAGAGGCAGUUAUUGGAAAUGAUCAUUCAUCAUUUGCCGGCUAUUUUUUGCAAGAUUGAGAUAAUAAAAAUAAAAAUAGAAUUUUAGUUGUGUCAUUCUAGUGAACACCAGCCUGUGUUUAUUUGAACCCUUU
rnacentral:lncRNA from 1 species